rnacentral:lncRNA from 1 species
CAGAAAAUACAGAGAAACUCUGCAUUUCUUUUGUUCAAAUUUGAGGGAAAUUGUCCUUUUUUUUCAUUGUUGGUAAUAACUCAAACAAUUUCGAAAGAUUUCUCUUCAUUUAGGUUCAAAAAUGGCUUAAGGAAGUUGUGAAUGGAAGUGUUGAAGUGCUGACUUACUGCUGUUAUUGAAUCUCUCACUUUUCCUAAUUCCUAAACUCAUUUUCAUUUGUUAUUGAUUAUUGUAUUCGGGUACUACGAUGAAACCUUGAGCAUCAAGUUUAAAUGUUGAAGAUGUGAACGAUUCAGAUUGAUUCCCAUGUGUACUCAUUGGUUUAUUUCUUUUAAGAUUGUAACUUUCUUUCUAUAUGUUUCUUACAAGUUUACAAGCAAGACCAUUGUAUUUCUUGAUAGAAAACUUUUGGUAGCAUGGUAAGUGAUGGUUUGGUAGUGUUUGACAGAAAACUCUAUUAUAGAUAAAAUUAUUACCAGUUAUUUUGAGUUUGAAUUUAGACGACAAGGAGUUGUCGACUAUUUUAGCAUGACAUAAUCAGCCAGGGUUUUCCUUCUUCAUCUCUUUAUCAAUUCUGUUUAAAGUUUAAGGCAUGGACCUUCAUUUCAUUAGUGAGUUACAAUAUGGAAAGAAUAGAUCGUGUGUGUAUUUAUAUCAUUUCCAUGAGUUAUUGUGGUUUUGUUGAAUCUUUGCAAGUAUGGUUUUGGAUUUGAAUUUAGUUUAGAUUGGUCAAUAUCUGCCCGAAAAUUCUGCCUCUGUUUAACAUGUGAAGUCCUGAGCAUUAUAACGUCUUCUAAAUAAAAUUUGAUUUCUAUUUUAAGACGAUAUUGUAGUUCAUUACAUUUGUGUUUAUUUAUACAUAUAGUAUCCAAUUAAGUGUUCUGUUUGAGUGGUGUAACCUGUGGGAUAGUUAUUGCCCCUUUGUUUGACUAUUUGAAUCAUUUGUUGUGAAAUGUUUGGUUGUUUCUCCGUGGAUGAACUUGUACUUUUGUUGUUCAGUUCCAUAUUUGUAUGUGGAAUUUGGCUUGAGUUUAGUUGGGACAGAGUUUGUUCAUACAUGCCAGUACAAUUCAAAUGUACUGACGUCCGUUUUACCGGGGCCGCUACAUUCGUGUUAUGAUUGUAGGUCGAUCCGUGGUAGGCACUCCAUCCCACCGUUCAUAGCUCCUCCUCCUAUCUAUCAGCGGUAUUCGUGUUUGGUGAGCCCAUUUCCUUCCGGGACCUUGUGCGGCUCAUGCCACCCAUGUUGUUGUAUUUUUUAGUCUUGUGUCCAUUUUGUAAAGGUAUAGCCGGGGCCUUGUUGCCGAUAUGUGUUGUAUUAUCUUUCUCUUAGAGGCUCUAUAGACACUGGUAUGUGGUUAGAACUUACGUAUAAAGGUGUAUGUUUGGGGAAUUGUAAACUGGUACACUACAUUCCCUGUUAAUCAUAAUGUAUGUUUUGUAAAAGAUGUUCCCUGUUAAUCAUAAUGUGUUUUUAAGAAAGACAAAUCAUAUGUUCUGUCAAUUGCAAAUUUGGUAUAUUUUGGCUAACUAACAAAGAAUGAAGUGGGGUAGCGCAU